rnacentral:rRNA from 1 species
UACGGGAGUGGCAAGCGUUAUCCGGAAUUAUUGGGCGUAAAGCGUCCGCAGGCGGCCUUGAAAGUCUGUCGUCAAAGCGUGGAGCUCAACUCCAUUUCGGCGAUGGAAACUGUAAGGCUGGUGUGUGGUAGGGGCAGAGGGAAUUCCCGGUGUAGCGGUGAAAUGCGUAGAUAUCGGGAAGAACACCAGUGGCGAAGGCGCUCUGCUGGGCCAUAACUGACGCUCAUGGACGAAAGCCAGGGGAGCGAAAGGG